rnacentral:rRNA from 1 species
UACAGAGGGGGCAAGCGUUAUUCGGAAUUAUUGGGCGUAAAGGGCGCGUAGGCGGCUUUGCAAGUGACGGGUGAAAUCCCUCGGCUUAACCGAGGAACUGCCUGUCAAACUGCAUGGCUUGAGACCGGGAGAGGUGAGUGGAAUUCCCAGUGUAGCGGUGAAAUGCGUAGAUAUUGGGAGGAACACCAGUGGCGAAGGCGGCUCACUGGACCGGUACUGACGCUGAGGCACGAAAGCGUGGGGAGCAAACAGG